rnacentral:rRNA from 1 species
CAGUAACGGCGAGUGAAGUGGGAAGAGCUCAAGCCGUCAAUCUCCGGCCUCGGGUCGGCGAAUUGUAGUGUGGAGAAGCGCUAUCCGUGCGACGUUGGUCGGAGUAAGUUGCUUGGAACGGCAUAUCGCAGAGGGUGAGAAUCCCGUCCUGUGCCGACGAGCUCGCACCACGAGGCGCUUUCGAAGAGUCGGGUUGUUUGGGAAUGCAGCCCAAAGCGGGUGGUAAACUCCACCUAAGGCUAAAUAGGGGCACGAGACCGAUAGCGAAAAAGUACCGUGAGGGAAAGAUGAAAAGCACUUUGAAAAGAGAGUCAAAGAGUACGUGAAACCGUUGGAGGGGAAGCGAAUGCGGCCAGCAAUGUCUUCGYGCAGAUUCAGCCGGUCACCGGGUAAGG